GCCACCGCCCCUCUCUCCCUCUCUCCCUUCUCGCCCUCCCCCUAUCAAGCCGCCUCUGUCCGUCUCCUCCAUUUUUCCAGCGAGGGAGGCUGCCGGACAGAAGCACCAGCAGCAGCUGUCCCUCUCCCGCCUCUCUCUCCGCCUUUCGUUUCUUCUCCUCUUCUUCUUUAUCCCUCUCUCUGCCUCCCUCUCCCCUUCUCCCACCGCCUCUUCUUUCUCCUCUCCGUCCACCAGCCACCGGCGGAAAUCCAACAGAAGUGACUAGAGAAAAGAACAACAACAACUCCGACAAGCAUCUACGCCCAGCAGUCUCGCGCAACAGCAGCUUCAACCGGCGAACAGCGAGAAACCAGCGCACGCAGCAGCGCCUGUAGAGGCGCACGCCAGCAGCAACUCGAGAAAAACAGAAGCCGCUGGUGAAGGCAGCAACCAGCAGCCCACCAGCCGCCUCCCUCUCCCCUCUCCCGUCGCUCCCUCUUCUCUUCUUCCGCCUCCCUCUUCUCCUCUCUUCUCCUCUCUUCUCCCUCUCCCCAUAUCCUCUUCUUCUCCUUUUCUCCGAGCAGCAGCAGCAACCGCGGACAGCAGAAGCUCGUCGAGGACGGCAGUAGCAGCGCCAACAACUCCAACGCCCAGCGAACCUCCGACUGGCGAAAACUCCGCUACAGCGACUCCGCGUAGCGAGCAAAGCAGCAGCCGCCAGACGCCGCUGCUUCCUCCUUAGGCGAGCUUCGAAAUUCAACAAACCACUUGUAUAUUUUGGUGCAUUGCGCGGUUGGUUUUUUCUUUUAAAUUUCUUGAUUAACAUAUUUAUCCUUGAAGUGCAAUGCUCACUCAGAUUAUCUCUUCCUGUACAUGUUUUAGGCGGAUUUCAUGUUAAGUAUGAAUUCGUUCAUUUGUUUUGGCAUUAUUUAAGUAGCAUUAUGAUUUUGAUCCUAUCUUCCUUCAAGAUUAGUUUCUCCAUAUGGUGGCUGCCUUCUGUGAAUAUGCUAGUCUUAGUUGCUUGUGGCUGACUUUUGCAGUGAUUCGAUGAGAUUGGGCAUUAAUUGAGUAAUUUGCCAAAAAUUGUACUGGUUAUUUCUAUCGAUUAGUCCAAACCACCUUACUAUUUUUAUAAUUGAAUUAAUAGUUGAUGAUUAUUUGCUUUGCUAUUAGAAUAAGCUAGGUAGAUGUCCCAGAAAUAAAUAUGUGAAGAUAUGUAAUUGAUCCUUAACCUUUGCGUAAAUAUUUUUUUCCUUACCUGCUUUUAUAUUGCAUUAAUUGACUAUCCUUAAUUGUUUAUUUGCCUGUUUUAAUUAAAUUUAAGUAGAUUUUUACUUGCUUUAUUUUUGAUAAAAUUGUGAAUUAUUAUGGUAAAAUAUUUGAUUGAUGUGGUAAUGUUUAAUCUAAGGAAAAUAUAUUAUAAUUGUCCUCUUAAUUUAUUCCCUUCCUUUAGUGUUGUGCUCUCUCAUCUAUUAUAUGAGCAUGCCCCUUUUCAUUCUUUGGAUAGACUUCAACAUACACUCAUUCACUCUAAAUCACAAGUUCUCAUCACUCUUCAUUCUCAUUGCUCUGUUGCUACUCUAAAUACAUUAAGAUUUCGAUAAACAUUCAAGUGCUCUUCUUCGCUAUCUUGCUUUUUGCUUUUGUUCGAGUAAAGGUUGGAUCAACUUGCUUCUCAUUGCUACCAUUUCUAAUCUACUCAACCGUUAUUUGACUGCAUUAGCAGGUUUCAAACUUGAAGUUCAAGUUGAAGAUCAACCAUGAAGAAAGAUUUAUUUGUUUAUUUGAAUCUAGAUUUCUUUUUCUUAUUUUUAUCUAUUUGAAUGUUGUAACAUUUGUAACUCUAAAGAUCAUAUAUAUAAAUUUAUUUGGGGGGUCGUCUAGGGGAGGGGGAUUUACAUGCCUACUUGUUUAUUGUAAAUUUUUAGAAAUCAUGCCUAUAGGUUUGUCUUUAACCACCUAGAAUUAUUGUUUGUAGGUGUUAUAAUCCAAUCAAUUGUUUGAUGCUUUGUUAAUAAGUCUAAAAAAUAAUAACUAGAUUCCGUUAAUUUUUAAUGUUAAAAUCAAAUCAUAAUAAUUUAGUAGGCUGAUUAGGUGUUUUAAUAAUGUUAUAACUUUUAGCAUUGUCCUGUUUGUUCAUAUCAUUUAGAUUUACAAAAAUCAUGCAUAUGUGUUUUAUUUUUGAACACCUAGAAAUUCAUGUCUAUAGGCUUGUAAAUAACUUUUAACAUAUCCAUAAAAAUAAAAUUUGUUUGUGCAUAUUUGUGCCCUCCCCCCAAAAUUAGUUAAUAUUAUUUAAUUAGUAAUCCUAUUUGUCUUCUUGAAGAUUUCCGCAUUCAUGAUGCAAUAUGUUUUUUUUUAAUAAUGACACUAAAUUAGAAUCAUUUCAUGCAUUUAACAAAUUACUUGGCUUUUAAAUAUAUUUCAUAUCAAAACUUUGCAACAUAUUUUUCUUUAAAAAAAUCAUUAUUCAAUCUUUCUUUAAAACUUUGGAUUGAUUAUGACAUUGUUUAUUUUCAAAAAUAAAUUAUAAGCAUUAUCUCCUAACCUAUCGUUAGUGGGAAAGUCAAAGGAACUACGAGGUCUAGUUCCAAUUUUUAAACCCGACGUGUCCCCGAAAGUACCACCUACCCAUGAAUUUCAAAAGGAAUUAUGUGUGUUUAUGUGUAAAUAUUUAUGUUCCUACAUGUAAAUUAAAUCUUUUAAAUCAUUUUCAAAAACAUAAACUAUUUUUUAGAUCGACCUCAAAUCAAAAUUGUUUCUAUGGUGGAGGAGCGCGAUCAACAAUAUCGUGGCAUCAUCCCUAUAAAGAAACAAACAUUUAUAAAAAAAAAUAAAAAAUUCAUAUUCAAAACUUGCUCAAUUUUCAUAACUUUACUUUCUCACAUAUUAAUUGCUUAAUAUUUACAAAUUUUGUUUCUAACAUAGUCUCACAUGCUUAAUAAAAAUAAAACUUAAUUGUUUAUUUAUUGCUAUCACCUAGCCUUGCAUGCUCAAAUAAAUGAAAAAUAGUAUUAAUUGUUUUGUAUUUGUUAUCACUUAGCAAGAUUAAAUAAAUCAAAAAAAUGAAGUGACCUUGAUUGAUA
rnacentral:lncRNA from 1 species